rnacentral:ribozyme from 1 species
GGUGUUGCCGUAUUUUGGAUCUGGUCUGAAAAUACGGAGAUGAAUCAUCUGCACCCAUCGCAGGACCCACAAUGCUGGUCUCAGUCUGUCGACCCAAG